CAACAAGCAGCUAUGCAUCGUCACUUGUGGUGAUGACAAGAUGAUUAAGGUUUGGGAUGCUGUAGCUGGACGCAGGCAAUAUACAUUUGAAGGCCAUGAAGCUCCUGUAUAUUCUGUUUGCCCUCAUUACAAAGAAAAUAUCCAGUUCAUUUUUUCUACAGCAAUUGAUGGGAAGAUUAAGGCUUGGCUAUAUGAUUCUUUGGGAUCUAGAGUGGACUAUGAUGCUCCUGGACUUUGGUGUACCAUGAUGGCAUACAGUGCAGAUGGGAC
rnacentral:misc_RNA from 1 species